AGCGACGCAUGCGCCCGCCGC
rnacentral:snRNA from 1 species